UGAACAGCAGCAUGGAAGUU
rnacentral:misc_RNA from 1 species